CAUCCCAUUCUUCGCCAUUUGUAAAGCAAGCAUCGAGAGAAGAAUGGCCAACAUGAAAGCCUCCAUUGUUUUCUGCUUCAUUCUCUUUGCUCUCCUCAUCUCUAUGGGAGAUGCUAAAAUGACCUUUAGCGGUAGGGUUCCAUUUCAACCCGCCAAAUUGGUGUGUGACCAUAUCUACGGGACACAAGUCGGGGACACAUGCUUCAGUAUCAUAGAGGCCUUCCAACUCACGACCGCCACCUUCAACGCCUUCAACCCAAAUUUGAACUGUGACAGGGUUUUUGUUGGAGAAUGGUUGUGCGUCCAUGCUACAACCGUUUGAAUGUCGACUUGAUACCUCCAUCUUUCCAAUGGUUCAUCGUUUUCUUUUCAACAAAUAAUACUUUAACCAUAGUAUUUCGCUUGUCGUAUUUCAUACCCCUCGGCAUCUCCUAGUUAUAAAUCAAACAUAAGGAUUUGUGUUACGGACAUUGCGUCACCUUCUUCACUUUAAUUAUUGCUAAUGAACUAUGUAGAUUAUUGUG